GAACGCCGUAUGCGGUGAAAGUCGCUUGUACGGUGUGGAGGAGGGGAAAAGAAGGAGAUAAUAUCAAGUUCUUACCUAUUCCUAU
rfam:Clostridium sp. BL8 Contig173, whole genome shotgun sequence.